rnacentral:rRNA from 1 species
UUAAGCGACUAAGCGUACACGGUGGAUGCCCUGGCAGUCAGAGGCGAUGAAGGACGUGCUAAUCUGCGAAAAGCGUCGGUAAGGUGAUAUGAACCGUUACAGCCGGCGAUGUCCGAAUGGGGAAACCCAGUGCAAUUCGUUGCACUAUCGUUAACUGAAUACAUAGGUUAACGAGGCGAACCGGGGGAACUGAAACAUCUAAGUACCCCGAGGAAAAGAAAUCAACCGAGAUUCCCCCAGUAGCGGCGAGCGAACGGGGAGCAGCCCAGAGUCUGAAUCAGCUUGUGUGUUAGUGGAACGGUCUGGAAAGUCCGACGGUACAGGGUGAUAGUCCCGUACACCAAAAUGCACAGGUUGUGAACUCGAAGAGUAGGGCGGGACACGUGGUAUCCUGUCUGAAUAUGGGGGGACCAUCCUCCAAGGCUAAAUACUCCUGACUGACCGAUAGUGAACCAGUACCGUGAGGGAAAGGCGAAAAGAACCCCGGCGAGGGGAGUGAAAAAGAACCUGAAACCGUGUACGUACAAGCAGUGGGAGCACCUUCGGGUGUGACUGCGUACCUUUUGUAUAAUGGGUCAGCGACUUAUAUUCUGUAGCAAGGUUAACCGUAUAGGGGAGCCGCAGGGAAACCGAGUCUUAACUGGGCGUUAAGUUGCAGGGUAUAGACCCGAAACCCGGUGAUCUAGCCAUGGGCAGGUUGAAGGUUGGGUAACACUAACUGGAGGACCGAACCGACUAAUGUUGAAAAAUUAGCGGAUGACUUGUGGCUGGGGGUGAAAGGCCAAUCAAACCGGGAGAUAGCUGGUUCUCCCCGAAAGCUAUUUAGGUAGCGCCUCGUGAACUCAUCUUCGGGGGUAGAGCACUGUUUCGGCUAGGGGGUCAUCCCGACUUACCAACCCGAUGCAAACUACGAAUACCGAAGAAUGUUAUCACGGGAGACACACGGCGGGUGCUAACGUCCGUCGUGAAGAGGGAAACAACCCAGACCGCCAGCUAAGGUCCCAAAGUCAUGGUUAAGUGGGAAACGAUGUGGGAAGGCACAGACAGCCAGGAUGUUGGCUUAGAAGCAGCCAUCAUUUAAAGAAAGCGUAAUAGCUCACUGGUCGAGUCGGCCUGCGCGGAAGAUGUAACGGGGCUAAACCAUGCACCGAAGCUGCGGCAGCGACACUAUGUGUUGUUGGGUAGGGGAGCGUUCUGUAAGCCUGCGAAGGUGUGCUGUGAGGCAUGCUGGAGGUAUCAGAAGUGCGAAUGCUGACAUAAGUAACGAUAAAGCGGGUGAAAAGCCCGCUCGCCGGAAGACCAAGGGUUCCUGUCCAACGUUAAUCGGGGCAGGGUGAGUCGACCCCUAAGGCGAGGCCGAAAGGCGUAGUCGAUGGGAAACAGGUUAAUAUUCCUGUACUUGGUGUUACUGCGAAGGGGGGACGGAGAAGGCUAUGUUAGCCGGGCGACGGUUGUCCCGGUUUAAGCAUGUAGGCUGAUUGUCCAGGCAAAUCCGGAUAAUCAAGGCUGAGGUGUGAUGACGAGGCACUACGGUGCUGAAGUAACAAAUGCCCUGCUUCCAGGAAAAGCCUCUAAGCAUCAGGUAACAUUAAAUCGUACCCCAAACCGACACAGGUGGUCAGGUAGAGAAUACCAAGGCGCUUGAGAGAACUCGGGUGAAGGAACUAGGCAAAAUGGUGCCGUAACUUCGGGAGAAGGCACGCUGGUGUGUAGGUGAAGUCCCUGCGGAUGGAGCUGAGACCAGUCGAAGAUACCAGCUGGCUGCAACUGUUUAUUAAAAACACAGCACUGUGCAAACACGAAAGUGGACGUAUACGGUGUGACGCCUGCCCGGUGCCGGAAGGUUAAUUGAUGGGGUUAUCCGUAAGGAGAAGCUCUUGAUCGAAGCCCCGGUAAACGGCGGCCGUAACUAUAACGGUCCUAAGGUAGCGAAAUUCCUUGUCGGGUAAGUUCCGACCUGCACGAAUGGCGUAAUGAUGGCCAGGCUGUCUCCACCCGAGACUCAGUGAAAUUGAACUCGCUGUGAAGAUGCAGUGUACCCGCGGCAAGACGGAAAGACCCCGUGAACCUUUACUAUAGCUUGACACUGAACAUUGAGCCUUGAUGUGUAGGAUAGGUGGGAGGCUUUGAAGCGUGGACGCCAGUCUGCGUGGAGCCAACCUUGAAAUACCACCCUUUAAUGUUUGAUGUUCUAACGUUGGCCCCUGACCGGGGUUGCGGACAGUGUCUGGUGGGUAGUUUGACUGGGGCGGUCUCCUCCCAAAGCGUAACGGAGGAGCACGAAGGUUAGCUAAUCCUGGUCGGACAUCAGGAGGUUAGUGCAAUGGCAUAAGCUAGCUUGACUGCGAGCGUGACGGCGCGAGCAGGUGCGAAAGCAGGUCAUAGUGAUCCGGUGGUUCUGAAUGGAAGGGCCAUCGCUCAACGGAUAAAAGGUACUCCGGGGAUAACAGGCUGAUACCGCCCAAGAGUUCAUAUCGACGGCGGUGUUUGGCACCUCGAUGUCGGCUCAUCACAUCCUGGGGCUGAAGUAGGUCCCAAGGGUAUGGCUGUUCGCCAUUUAAAGUGGUACGCGAGCUGGGUUUAGAACGUCGUGAGACAGUUCGGUCCCUAUCUGCCGUGGGCGCUGGAGAAUUGAGGGGGGCUGCUCCUAGUACGAGAGGACCGGAGUGGACGCAUCACUGGUGUUCGGGUUGUCAUGCCAAUGGCACUGCCCGGUAGCUAAAUGCGGAAGAGAUAAGUGCUGAAAGCAUCUAAGCACGAAACUUGCCCCGAGAUGAGUUCUCCCUGAGACUAUAAGUCUCCUGAAGGAACGUU